AAACAUAGCCUUUAGCAAACCAAGUAUUAAAGGUAACGCCUGCCCAGUGAAACUUUAACGGCCGCGGUAUCCUAACCGUGCAAAGGUAGCGUAAUCACUUGUCUUAUAAAUAAAGACCCGUAUGAACGGCUAAAUGAGUAUUUUACUGUCUCCUUUAACCAGUCAGUGAAACUGAUCUUUCAGUACAAAAGCUGAAAUAUUGACAUAAGACGAGAAGACCCUGUGGAGCUUUAAAUUUUCACCAAAACAUUCUCACAGAACAUGUUUAUGCUAAAAAAUUUUAAGUUGGGGCGACUUUGGAGUACAACAAAACCUCCAAUAAUAAGCACUGCUAAAAAGGCCCACUAGCCAAACAAUAAAGACCCAGUAUCACUGAUCAACGAACUAAGUUACCCCAGGGAUAACAGCGCCAUCUUCUUCAAGAGUUCAUAUCGACAAGAAGGUUUACGACCUCGAUGUUGGAUCAGGACACCCAAAUGGUGCAGCCGCUAUUAAAGGUUCGUUUGUUCAACGAUUAAUAGUCCUACGUGAU
rnacentral:rRNA from 1 species